UACAGAGGUCCCAAGCGUUGUUCGGAUUCACUGGGCGUAAAGGGUGCGUAGGCGGUCGGGUAAGUCUGAUGUGAAAUCUCGGAGCUUAACUCCGAAAUUGCAUUGGAUACUAUCAGGCUAGAGGGUUGGAGGGGGGACUGGAAUUCUCGGUGUAGCAGUGAAAUGCGUAGAUAUCGAGAGGAACACCAGUGGCGAAGGCGAGUCCCUGGACAACUCCUGACGCUGAGGCACGAAAGCUAGGGGAGCAAACAGG
rnacentral:rRNA from 1 species